rnacentral:ncRNA from 1 species
AUGGCAAUAUUAUUGCCGUGGGCUGCACAUGAGGAAACUUGUGUGUGAUUACCUUUCAAAUUCGGGGAACCCUGUUAAAUGGCAAUCCCGAGCCAAGCUCUAGGAAUAUUCUUAGAGAAGGUGUAGAGACUUUAUGGAAGGCACCCUAACAGGUAAACUGAGGGUGAAGAGAAAGUCCAGACCACAAACUAAAGUCGGAU